UCGUCAGUGAGGUACAUCCUUACCUGUUACUCCUGAAAAGGAGUUGCAGAAAAUGAUGAAUGGAGCUCAAUGAGAUAUGAUUAGUAUCUCCAUCUUGAUGGGAACAGCAACACCCAUUAAGACCCAUUCUGAU
rnacentral:snoRNA from 1 species